rnacentral:rRNA from 1 species
UGGGGAAUUUUGGACAAUGGGGGCAACCCUGAUCCAGCAAUGCCGCGUGAGUGAAGAAGGCCUUCGGGUUGUAAAGCUCUUUUGUCAGGGAAGAAACGGUGGUCGCUAAUAUCGGCUGCUAAUGACGGUACCUGAAGAAUAAGCACCGGCUAACUACGUGCCAGCAGCCGCGGUAAUACGUAGGGUGCAAGCGUUAAUCGGAAUUACUGGGCGUAAAGCGUGCGCAGGCGGUUAUAUAAGUCAGAUGUGAAAUCCCCGGGCUCAACCUGGGAACUGCAUUUGAGACUGUAUAGCUAGAGUGUGUCAGAGGGGGGUAGAAUUCCACGUGUAGCAGUGAAAUGCGUAGAGAUGUGGAGGAAUACCGAUGGCGAAGGCAGCCCCCUGGGAUAACACUGACGCU